rnacentral:rRNA from 1 species
UACGUAGGGUGCAAGCGUUAAUCGGAAUUACUGGGCGUAAAGCGUGCGCAGGCGGUUAUGUAAGACAGAUGUGAAAUGCCCGGGCUUAACCUGGGAACUGCAUUUGUGACUGCAUGGCUAGAGUUUGGCAGAGGGGGGUAGAAUUCCACGUGUAGCAGUGAAAUGCGUAGAUAUGUGGAGGAACACCGAUGGCGAAGGCAGCCCCCUGGGUCAAGACUGACGCUCAUGCACGAAAGUGUGGGGAGCAAACAGG